rfam:Streptobacillus moniliformis DSM 12112, complete genome.
GACUUUGUAGCUCAGUUGGUUAGAGCAUCUGACUGUUAAUCAGAGGGUCGAAGGUUCAAAUCCUUCCAAGGUCG